GACGAACGCUGGCGGCGUGCUUAACACAUGCAAGUCGAACGGAAAGGCCCUGCUUUUGUGGGGUGCUCGAGUGGCGAACGGGUGAGUAUCACGUGAGUAACCUGCCCUUGACUUUGGGAUAACUUCAGGAAACUGGGGCUAAUACCGGAUAGGAGCUCCUGCUGCAUGGUGGGGGUUGGAAAGUUUCGGCGGUUGGGGAUGGACUCGCGGCUUAUCAGCUUGUUUGUGAGGUAGUGGCUUACCAAGGCUUUGACGGGUAGCCGGCCUGAGAGGGUGACCGGCGACAUUGGGACUGAGAUACGGACCAGACUCCUACGGGAGGCAGCAGUGGGGAGUAUUGCACAAUGGGCGGAAGCCUGAUGCAGCAACGCCGCGUGCGGGAUGACGGCCUUCGGGUUGUAAACCGAUUUCGACUGUGACGAAGCGUGAGUGACGGUAAUGGGUAAAGAAGCACCGGCUAACUACGUG
rnacentral:rRNA from 1 species